AUUGAACGCUGGCGGCAUGCCUUACACAUGCAAGUCGAACGGUAACAGGUCUUCGGAUGCUGACGAGUGGCGAACGGGUGAGUAAUACAUCGGAACGUGCCUAGUAGUGGGGGAUAACUACUCGAAAGAGUGGCUAAUACCGCAUGAGAUCUACGGAUGAAAGCAGGGGAUCGCAGGACCUUGUGCUACUAGCGCGGCCGAUGGCAGAUUAGGUAGUUGGUGGGAUAAAAGCUUACCAAGCCGACGAUCUGUAGCUGGUCUGAGAGGACGAUCAGCCACACUGGGACUGAGACACGGCCCAGACUCCUACGGGAGGCAGCAGUGGGGAAUUUUGGACAAUGGGCGCAAGCCUGAUCCAGCAAUGCCGCGUGCAGGAUGAAGGCCUUCGGGUUGUAAACUGCUUUUGUACGGAACGAAAAGCCCUGGGUUAAUACCCUGGGGUCAUGACGGUACCGUAAGAAUAAGCACCGGCUAACUACGUGCCAGCCGCCGCCGUAAUAC
rnacentral:rRNA from 1 species